rnacentral:rRNA from 1 species
UACCAGCACCCCGAGUGGUCGGGACGAUUAUUGGGCCUAAAGCAUCCGUAGCCGGUCCUGCAAGUCUUCCGUUAAAUCCAGCUGCUCAACAGAUGGGCUGCGGGAGAUACUACAGGGCUAGGAGGCGGGAGAGGCAAGCGGUACUUUAUGGGUAGGGGUAAAAUCCGCUGAUCCAUAGAAGACCACCAGUGGCGAAGGCGGCUUGCCAGGACGCGCUCGACGGUGAGGGAUGAAAGCUGGGGGAGCAAACCGG